rnacentral:rRNA from 1 species
GGGGGCAACCCUGGUGGCGAGUGGCGAACGGGUGAGAAGUAAUACAUCGGAACGUGUCCUGUAGUGGGGGAUAGGCCCGGCGAAAGCCGGAUUAAUACCGCAUACGCUCUACGGAGGAAAGGGGGGGAUCUUAGGACCUCCCGCUACAGGGGCGGCCGAUGGCAGAUUAGCUAGUUGGUGGGGUAAGGCCUACCAAGGCGACGAUCUUGUAGCUGGUCUGAGAGGACGACCAGCCACACUGGGACUGAGACACGGCCCAGACUCCUACGGGAGGCAGCAGUGGGGAAUUUGGACAAUGGGGGAAACCCUGAUCCAGCAAUGCCGCGUGUGUCGAAGAAGGCCUUCGGGUUGUAAAGCACUUUUGUCCGGAAAGAAAACCUCUGCCCUAAAUACGGCGGGGGGAUGACGGUACCGGAAGAAUAAAGCACCGGCUAACUACGUGCCAGGCAGCCGCGGUAAAUACGUAGGGUGCUAAGGCGUUGCUCGGAAUCACUGGGCGUAAAGCGCACGUAGGCGGGUCUUUAAAGUCCAGGGGUGAAAUCCUGGGAGGCCUCAAUCCAGAAACUUGCCUUUGAUACUGAGGAUCUCGAGUCCGGGAGAGGGUGGAAGUGGAACUCCCGAGUGUAGAGGUGACAUUCGUAGAUAUUCCGGAAG